rnacentral:rRNA from 1 species
CAUGUACUGUGCGAACGUUAUUCGGAAUCACUGGGCUUAAAGGGUGCGUAGGCGGCGAUUCAAGUCAGAUGUGAAAUGCCUGAGCUCAACUGAGGCAUUGCGUUUGAGACUGAAUUGCUAGAGUAUUUCAGGGGUGUGCGGAACUGCCAGUGGAGCGGUGAAAUGUGUUGAUAUUGGCAGGAACACCGGAGGCGUAAGCGGCACACUGGGGAAUAACUGACGCUGAGGCACGAAAGCUAGGAGAGCGAACGGG